GGAGGGAUCAUUACCGAGUUUACAACUCCCAAACCCCAUGUGAACAUACCUGUUUCGUUCCCUCGGCGGUGUCCGGCAACGGCCCGCCAGAGGACCCAACAAACUCUUUUGAAUUUUUCAGUAUCUUCUGAGUGAAAAAAACAAUAAAUCAAAACUUUCAACAACGGAUCUCUUGGUUCUGGCAUCGAUGAAGAACGCAGCGAAAUGCGAUAAGUAAUGUGAAUUGCAGAAUUCAGUGAAUCAUCGAAUCUUUGAACGCACAUUGCGCCCGCCAGUAUUCUGGCGGGCAUGCCUGUUCGAGCGUCAUUUCAACCCUCAAGCUCAGCUUGGUGUUGGGGAUCGGCAGGGCGUCCUCCGGGUCGCGCCGUCCCCCAAAUAUAGUGGCGGUCUCGCUGUAGCUUCCUCUGCGUAGUAAUACACCUCGCACUGGAGUCUCGGCGCGGCCACGCCGUUAAACCCCCAACUUUUUCUGGUUGACCUCGAAUCAGGUAGGACUACCCGCUGAACUUAAGCAUAUCAAUAAGCGGAGGAAAAGAAACCAACAGGGAUUGCCCUAGUAACGGCGAGUGAAGCGGCAACAGCUCAAAUUUGAAAUCUGGCCCUCGGGUCCGAGUUGUAAUUUGUAGAGGAUGCUUUUGGUGAGGUGCCUUCCGAGUUCCCUGGAACGGGACGCCAUAGAGGGUGAGAGCCCCGUCUGGUUGGAUACCGAGCCUCUGUAAAGCUCCUUCGACGAGUCGAGUAGUUUGGGAAUGCUGCUCUAAAUGGGAGGUAUAUGUCUUCUAAAGCUAAAUACCGGCCAGAGACCGAUAGCGCACAAGUAGAGUGAUCGAAAGAUGAAAAGCACUUUGAAAAGAGAGUUAAAAAGUACGUGAAAUUGUUGAAAGGGAAGCGCUUAUGACCAGACUUGGACUUGGUUGAUCAUCCUGGGUUCUCCCUGGUGCACUCUUCCAGUUCAGGCCAGCAUCAGUUCGUUGCGGGGGAUAAAAGCUUUGGGAAUGUGGCUCCCUCGGGAGUGUUAUAGCCCACUGCAUAAUACCCUGCUCCGGACUGAGGUUCGCGCAUCUGCAAGGAUGCUGGCGUAAUGGUCAUCAGCGACCCGUCUUGAAACACGGACCAAGGAGUCGUCUUCGUAUGCGAGUGUUCGGGUGUCAAACCCCUACGCGUAAUGAAAGUGAACGCAGGUGAGAGCUUCGGCGCAUCAUCGACCGAUCCUGAUGUUCUCGGAUGGAUUUGAGUAAGAGCAUACGGGGCCGGACCCGAAAGAAGGUGAACUAUGCCUGUAUAGGGUGAAGCCAGAGGAAACUCUGGUGGAGGCUCGCAGCGGUUCUGACGUGCAAAUCGAUCGUCAAAUAUGGGCAUGGGGGCGAAAGACUAAUCGAACCUUCUAGUAGCUGGUUUCCGC
rnacentral:misc_RNA from 1 species